GAUGAACGCUGGCGGCGUGCCUAAUACAUGCAAGUCGAGCGAACAGACGAGGAGCUUGCUCCUCUGACGUUAGCGGCGGACGGGUGAGUAACACGUGGAUAACCUACCUAUAAGACUGGGAUAACUUCGGGAAACCGGAGCUAAUACCGGAUAAUAUAUUGAACCGCAUGGUUCAAUAGUGAAAGACGGUUUUGCUGUCACUUAUAGAUGGAUCCGCGCCGCAUUAGCUAGUUGGUAAGGUAACGGCUUACCAAGGCGACGAUGCGUAGCCGACAUGAGAGAGUGAUCGCCGACACUGGAACGGAGACACGGUCCAGACUCCUACGGGAGGCAGCAGUAGGGAAUCUUCCGCAAUGGGGGAAAGCAUGACGGAGCAACGCCGCGUGAGUGAUGAAGGUCUUCGGAUCGGAAAGCUCUGUUAUUAGGGGAGAACAAAUGUGUAAGUAACUAUGCACGUCUUGACGGUACCUAAUCAGAAAGCCACGGCUAACUACGUG
rnacentral:rRNA from 1 species